AGUGUUCUACAUUAAAUCUACAGCUCCUCACAGUGAACCUUCAUGUCCUUAUUGUGUGACUUCAUGUCAGUCCUCCUUCAGGGCUUCAAUAACUAAGAACUCUCUAAUGCCUUCCAGGAGGUUUAAGAAAUGUCAAAGUCAACCAGAGACACUGCGUCAAACAGCUGCACAGCUUCCUCUUCAAACACCAGCAGCUGGAACACAGGAAGAAAUCCACUAUGGAGACAUCAGCAUCUCCAGUCAGAGACCUGGACCGUCCUCUGUCUCAGUGCAGGACAGUGGACAGCAGCAGGACACAGUGUAUGCACAGGUCAAAGUCACCAGCAGCCCACAGCCUGCUGAUGCAGAAGAACUCUAUGCUCAAGUGAAGAAAUAAUGAGUUUCCUUCACUUCCUGUUUUACAUUUUAAUGUUAAAGGAAACAUUAUGUGUUGACCACAGUGACUUCUUUGUCUUUGUAAAGGUGAGAAAUAUAACAACUAUUAAGAAACAGUCAGUCUCAGUUCCUGUGUAAUACUAAAAAGAUGUUAUACUUCUGUCGUCUGCAGAAAAGCAGAAGCAGCUGCUGUAAAUAUGAACAUGACAGAGGACUAUUAACAUGUAUGAUUCUGUUAUCGGGUUCGAGUCGCCACAUGCAGCAUAUGUGCAGAGGAUCAUAAACAGUAAAACCACAGACUUCCUCACAGCAUAUCACACAGAUAAGGACCAAAAACACAUUACCAGGAUAGAUAAACUAUUUAUUUCCCUGAAUCUAUUUGUUUUUCUCAGAGCUCUUCUUUUUGAUUUGGAUUAUUUUUGAGGUCUAUUUCUUCUCCAUCUGAGUUGGGCGAGGGUAAUUAAAAAAAGCCACUGCAAAGAAAAUGAUUUGAACUGAACCUGUGUGAGCAUUGAACUGAUAUGAACUUAACUUGAUCAUAAGAGAAUCAAACUGCACUUCUAGUAAAAAACAAAUAUGGCCAUUUGUUUUUACUAAAUCUGCUCUGUUCUCCCUCGUCUUUAUCUUUUCUACUCCCUGAAAAGAACCACAGUGGAAGUUGUUCAUCACACAUGAUGUGUUCAGACAGUCAGCAAACUGUGUGGGUCAGAUAGAAGAGUUGAAAUCUAAUAAAGUUCUGAGUUAAAGUUGAGUUCUUUAAAUA
rnacentral:lncRNA from 1 species